rnacentral:lncRNA from 1 species
GGUGUACUUCUCUGUUGGUCACCCUUUACUUGUCUGAAACCCGCUGUCCUUGGUGCUGCAUCGCUCUCUUCAGACUCAGGCUGGAGACCAAUGAGUGCAGCACAGAAUCCACCAUGUUAGUGAGAGAAAGACUUUUACAAUAUGUAUUUCUUCAAAUGGACAAGGGUUAAUAUAGGGCUUAGGGCAUGUCAUCUUUGCAAAGUCAAGCAUCAUGGAACAUAUUCUCACUCACUUACUCACUCUCACCCAUCCCCUUCAUGCAGGUGGUGCUUUUCAUGGGUCGGAAGGUCCCCCAGGUUUUCCUGGCUCUAAGGGGGAUCCUGGAGACCCUGGGGACGAUUACACAGCGCCCCCGGGGCCAGAUGGGGACCCAGGAGGCCAAGGACUACCUGGGGACCGGGGGCCACCUGGACCACCUGAAGACAGAGCCAAGAAGGUGACUCAAGGCCCUCCAGGGAUGAAGGGGAUGAAGGGACUGCUGGGCCUGCCUGGAUACAAGGGUGGCCACGGGAGGAAAGGAGAGAAGGGCAACAUAUGUUAUACGUGUACAGGACAGCCAGGACCAAGAGGUCCCCCCGGACCCCCGGGAAUGCAUGGUAACGAUCAGGGACCGGGCGCCCCCGGGGACCAGGGCUUCCCAGGACACGGAGGAUUACCCGGACCCCCUGUAAGAAAAGCUUUUCAAUUAAAAAAACAGUUUUCCCAUUAUCCAACACCCCUACCGGUACGGUCUCUAUAG